rnacentral:rRNA from 1 species
UACGAAGGGUGCAAGCGUUAAUCGGAAUUACUGGGCGUAAAGGGUGCGUAGGCGGUUCGUUAAGUCUGUCGUGAAAUCCCCGGGCUCAACCUGGGAAUGGCGAUGGAUACUGGCGAGCUAGAGUGUGUCAGAGGAUGGUGGAAUUCCCGGUGUAGCGGUGAAAUGCGCAGAUAUCAGGAAGAACACCCGUGGCUAAGGCGGCUCUCUAGUACGGUACUGACGCUGAGACGCGAAAGCGUGGGGAGCGAACAGG